AUUGAACGCUGGCGGCACGCCUAACACAUGCAAGUCGAACGGCAGCACAGAGGGUAGCAAUACCUUUGGGUGGCGAGUGGCGGACGGGUGAGUAAUGCGUAGGAAUCUACCCUAGAGAUGAGGAUAACUUGGGGAAACUCAAGCUAAUACUGAAUACGCCCUACGGGGUAAAGGUCGCGCAAGCAGUCGCUUUAGGAUGA
rnacentral:rRNA from 1 species